rnacentral:rRNA from 1 species
GUAACACGUGUGCAACCAACCCCGUACCGGGAGAUAACCCGCGGAAACGUGGACUAACACCCCAUAACACCUUUCCCCCGCAUGGGGGGGAGUUUAAAAAUCACGAUGGUACGGGACGGGCACGCGCGACAUUAGGUAGUUGGCGGGGUAACGGCCCACCAAGCCGACGAUGUCUAGGGGUUCUGAGAGGAAGGUCCCCCACACUGGAACUGAGACACGGUCCAGACUCCUACGGGAGGCAGCAGUGAGGAAUAUUGGUCAAUGGGCGAGAGCCUGAACCAGCCAAGUCGCGUGAGGGAAGAAUGGUCUAUGGCCUGUAAACCUCUUUUGUCAAGGAAGAAUAAGCGGCACGAGUGCCACCUUGCCAGUACUUGACGAAUAAGCAUCGGCUAACUCCGUGCCAGCAGCCGCGGUAAUACGGGGGAUGCGAGCGUUAUCCGGAUUUAUUGGGUUUAAAGGGCGCGUAGGCGGGACGUCAAGUCAGCGGUAAAAGACUGCAGCUAAACUGUAGCACGCCGUUGAAACUGUCGACCUGGAGACGAGACGAGGGAGGCGGAACAAGUGAAGUAGCGGUGAAAUGCAUAGAUAUCACUUGGAACCCCGAUAGCGAAGGCAGCUUCCCAGGCUCGAUCUGACGCUGAUGCGCGAGAGCGUGGGUAGCGAACAGGAUUAGAUACCCUGGUAGUCCACGCCGUAAACGAUGCUCACUGGAUCUUGGCGAUACACGGCCAGGGUUCAAGCGAAAGUAUUAAGUGAGCCACCUGGGGAGUACGUCGGCAACGAUGAAACUCAAAGGAAUUGACGGGGGCCCGCACAAGCGGAGGAACAUGUGGUUUAAUUCGAUGAUACGCGAGGAACCUUACCCGGGUUUAAAUGCAGGUUGCAUGAGGUGGAAACACCUCUUUCCCUCGGGACUACCUGCAAGGUGCUGCAUGGUUGUCGUCAGCUCGUGCCGUGAGGUGUCGGGUUAAGUCCCAUAACGAGCGCAACCCCUAUCGCCAGUUGCCAUCGGUUCAAGCCGGGCACUCUGUCGAGACUGCCACCGUAAGGUGCGAGGAAGGCGGGGAUGACGUCAAAUCAGCACGGCCCUUACACCCGGGGCGACACACGUGUUACAAUGGCCGGUACAGAGGGCAGCCACGGGGCGACCCGGAGCGAAUCUCUAAAGCCGGUCGUAGUUCGGACUGGAGUCUGCAACCCGACUCCACGAAGUUGGAUUCGCUAGUAAUCGCGCAUCAGC